rnacentral:rRNA from 1 species
UACGGGGGGGGGCAAGCGUUGUUCGGAAUUACUGGGCGUAAAGGGCUCGUAGGUGGCCAACUAAGUCAGACGUGAAAUCCCCAGGCUCAACUUGGGAACUGCGUCUGAUACUGGAUGGCUUGAAUUCGGGAGAGGGAUGCAGAAUUCCAGGUGUAGCGGUGAAAUGCGCAGAUAUCAGGAAGAACACCCGUGGCGAAAGCGGCUCUCUGGAACGGUACUGACGCUGAGACGCGAAAGCGUGGGGAGCGAACAGG